CCGGCGCACGGGUGAGUAACGCGUAUCCAACCUGCCCACCACUUGGGGAUAACCUUGCGAAAGUAAGACUAAUACCCAAUGAUAUCUCUAGAAGACAUCUGAAAGAGAUUAAAGAUUUAUCGGUGAUGGAUGGGGAUGCGUCUGAUUAGCUUGUUGGCGGGGUAACGGCCCACCAAGGCAACGAUCAGUAGGGGUUCUGAGAGGAAGGUCCCCCACAUUGGAACUGAGACACGGUCCAG
rnacentral:rRNA from 1 species